CAGCAGCCGAGGUAAUACGAAGGGUGCAAGCGUUACUCGGAAUUACUGGGCGUAAAGCGUGCGUAGGUGGUGGUUUAAGUCCGUUGUGAAAGCCCUGGGCUCAACCUGGGAAUUGCAGUGGAUACUGGGUCACUAGAGUGUGGUAGAGGAUAGUGGAAUUUCCGGUGUAGCAGUGAAAUGCGUAGAGAUCGGAAGGAACAUCUGUGGCGAAGGCGACUAUCUGGGCCAACACUGACACUGAGGCACGAAAGCGUGGGGAGCAAACAGGAUUAGAUACCCGCGUAGUCACUGUCUCUUAUAC
rnacentral:rRNA from 1 species